rnacentral:rRNA from 1 species
GACGAACGCUGGCGGCGUGCUUAACACAUGCAAGUCGAGCGGUAAGGCCCUUUCGGGGGUACACGAGCGGCGAACGGGUGAGUAACACGUGGGUGACCUGCCCUCAGCUCUGGGAUAAGCCUGGGAAACUGGGUCUAAUACUGGAUAUGACUCCACGGUGCAUGUCGUGGGGUGGAAAGCCUUGUGCGGCUGAGGAUGGGCCCGCGGCCUAUCAGCUUGUUGGUGGGGUGAGGCCUACCAAGGCGACGACGGGUAGCCGGCCUGAGAGGGCGACCGGCCACACUGGGACUGAGACACGGCCCAGACUCCUACGGGAGGCAGCAGUGGGGAAUCUUGCGCAAUGGGCGAAAGCCUGACGCAGCGAC